AGAGUUUGAUCCUGGCUCAGAUUGAACGCUGGCGGUAUGCUUAACACAUGCAAGUCGAACGGAAACGAAACUAGCUUGCUAGUAGGCGUCGAGUGGCGGACGGGUGAGUAACGCGUAGGAAUCUGCCUGAUAGUGGGGGAUAGCCCGAAGAAAUUCGGAUUAAUACCGCAUAAUCUAUUCGUAGUAAAGUGGGGGACUUUCGAGCCUCACGCUAUCAGAUGAGCCUGCGUAAGAUUAGCUUGUUGGUAGGGUAAAAGCCUACCAAGGCAACGAUCUUUAGCUGGUCUGAGAGGAUGAUCAGCCACAUCGGGACUGAGACACGGCCCGAACUCCUACGGGAGGCAGCAGUGGGGAAUAUUGGACAAUGGGGGCAACCCUGAUCCAGCAAUACCGCGUGUGUGAAGAAGGCCUGAGGGUUGUAAAGCACUUUCAAUUGUGAAGAAAAGUUAACGGUUAAUAACCGUUGACCUUGACGUUAACUUUAGAAGAAGCACCGGCUAACUCCGUGCCAGCAGCCGCGGUAAUACGGAGGGUGCAAGCGUUAAUCGGAAUUACUGGGCGUAAAGCGUGCGUAGGCGGUUUAUUAAGUCAGAUGUGAAAGCCCCGGGCUUAACCUGGGAACUGCAUUUGAAACUGGUCAACUAGAGUAUGGUAGAGGAAAGUGGAAUUUCUGGUGUAGCGGUGAAAUGCGUAGAUAUCAGAAGGAACAUCAAUGGCGAAGGCAGCUUUCUGGACCAAUACUGACGCUGAGGUACGAAAGCGUGGGUAGCAAACAGGAUUAGAUACCCUGGUAGUCCACGCCGUAAACGAUGAUAACUAGCCGUUGGGGGGAUUUACCCCUUAGUGGCGAAGCUAACGCGUUAAGUUAUCCGCCUGGGGAGUACGGCCGCAAGGCUAAAACUCAAAGGAAUUGACGGGGACCCGCACAAGCGGUGGAGCAUGUGGUUUAAUUCGAUGCAACGCGAAGAACCUUACCUGGUCUUGACAUCCUGCGAACUUUCUAGAAAUAGAUUGGUGCCUUCGGGAACGCAGUGACAGGUGCUGCAUGGCUGUCGUCAGCUCGUGUCGUGAGAUGUUGGGUUAAGUCCCGUAACGAGCGCAACCCCUAUCCUUAUUUGCCAGCACAUUAUGGUGGGAACUAUAAGGAGACUGCCGGUGAUAAACCGGAGGAAGGCGGGGACGACGUCAAGUCAUCAUGGCCCUUACGACCAGGGCUACACACGUGCUACAAUGGGAAGGACAAAGAGCCGCGAAGCCGCGAGGUGUAGCUAAUCUCAUAAAUCUUUUCGUAGUCCGGAUUGGAGUCUGCAACUCGACUCCAUGAAGUCGGAAUCGCUAGUAAUCGUAGAUCAGAAUGCUACGGUGAAUACGUUCCCGGGUCUUGUACACACCGCCCGUCAUACCAUGGGAGUGGGUUGCACCAGAAGUGACUAGUCUAACUUUGUGAGGACGGUCACCACGGUGUGAUUCAUGACUGGGGUAAAGUCGUAACAAGGUAACC
rnacentral:rRNA from 1 species